CAGCAGCCACGGGAAUACGAGGGGGGCAAGCGUUGUUCGGAUUUAUUGGGCGUAAAGGGUGCGUAGGCGGUUUGGCAAGUCUUGUGUGAAAUCUUCGGGCUCAACCCGAAGCCUGCACGAGAAACUACCGGGCUUGAGUAUUGGAGAGGUGAGUGGAAUUUCCGGUGUAGCGGUGAAAUGCGUAGAUAUCGGAAGGAACACCUGUGGCGAAAGCGGCUCACUGGACAAUAACUGACGCUGAUGCACGAAAGCUAGGGGAGCAAACAGGAUUAGAUACCCCCGUAGUCCCUGUCUCUUAUAC
rnacentral:rRNA from 1 species